CCUACGGGGGGCUGCAGUGGGGAAUAUUGGACAAUGGGGGCAACCCUGAUCCAGCCAUGCCGCGUGUGUGAAGAAGGCCCUCGGGUUGUAAAGCACUUUCAGUGAGGAAGAACGCCUGGUGGUUAAUACCCAUCAGGAAAGACAUCACUCACAGAAGAAGCACCGGCUAACUCCGUGCCAGCAGCCGCGGUAAUACGGAGGGUGCGAGCGUUAAUCGGAAUUACUGGGCGUAAAGCGCGCGUAGGUGGCUUGAUAAGCCGGUUGUGAAAGCCCCGGGCUCAACCUGGGAACGGCAUCCGGAACUGUCAAGCUAGAGUGCAGGAGAGGAAGGUAGAAUUCCCGGUGUAGCGGUGAAAUGCGUAGCGAUCGGGAGGAAUACCAGUGGCGAAGGCGGCCUUCUGGACUGACACUGACACUGAGGUGCGAAAGCGUGGGUAGCAAACAGGAUUAGAUACCCGAGUAGUC
rnacentral:rRNA from 1 species